rnacentral:rRNA from 1 species
CAGUCGCCGCGGUAAUACAGAGGGUGCAAGCGUUAAUCGGAAUUACUGGGCGUAAAGCGCGCGUAGGUGGUUCGCCAAGUUGGAUGUGAAAUCCCCGGGCUCAACCUGGGAACUGCAUCCAAAACUGGCGAGCUAGAGUAUGGUAGAGGGUGGUGGAAUUUCCUGUGUAGCGGUGAAAUGCGUGGAUAUAGGAAGGAACAUCAGUGGCGAAGGCGACCACCUGGACUGAUACUGACACUGAGGUGCGAAAGCGUGGGGAGCAAACAGGAUUAGAUACCCCAGUAGUCCCUGUCUCUUAUAC